AUUGAACGCUGGCGGCAGGCCUAACACAUGCAAGUCGAACGAGUGGCGGACGGGUGAGUAAUGUCUGGGAAACUGCCCGAUGGAGGGGGAUAACUACUGGAAACGGGAGCUAAUACAGCAUACCAUCGGAUGUGCCCCGAUGGGAUUAGCGAGUAGGUGGGGUAACGGCGCACCUAGGCGACGAGCCCUAGCUGGUAUGAGAGGAUGACCAGCCCCACGGGAACUGAGACACGGUCCAGACGCCUACUGGAGGCACCAGUGGUGAAUAUUGCACAAUGGGGGCAAGCCUGAUACAGCCAUGCCGCGUGUAUGAAGAAGGCCUUCGGGUUGUAAAGUACUUUCAGCGAGGAGGCGUUACUCGCAGAAGAAGCACCGGCUAACUCCGUGCCAGCAGCCGCGGUAAUUC
rnacentral:rRNA from 1 species